GCCCUCGUGGAUCACAGUUGAUCGUCUUCAUCCUAUAACGUGUUAGGGUUGGUUUAUGAAGAUGUUGUAGGUUCGAAUCCUACCGAGGGCA